CCCAUAACACCUAAGAGAGGUAGGCCUAAAGGAUCGGUCUCCAAGUUACUGGCUAGCCCCAUAACACCUAAGAGAGGUAGGCCUAAAGGAUCGGUCUCCAAGUUACUGGCUAGCCCCAUAACACCUAAGAGAGGUAGGCCUAAAGGAUCGGUCUCCAAGUUACUGGCUAGCCCCAUAACACCUAACAGAGUAGGCCUAAAGGAUCGGUCUCCAAGUUACUGGCUAGCCC